GCAGCUCUGGGCUGUACCAGAUUCACCUUUAUUGCUCACGCUCCUCGGGGUUCCAACAGGCUGGGCCCCCCCUUUCCUUUCUUCAGCACAAAGGAGACUCAGGUCAGGGCUGAAUCCGUCCCCCACACCCCCCCCAGGGUUACAAACUGCCUUCAGAAGAGUGGGGUCAUCUGGCGCGGGUCGUCAGGCAGGAUGCUGACCGAGUCCUCGGCGCGGCCGCACAGCAGGCACAGCAUGGUGUACUCCUGGUAGUCGUCCACCACGCUGAAGGUGUACUCAUGGCGAGCAAUCAGGUGGUGGCAGUUCUUGCACAGGUGGUCGUAGGUGAUGAUCUCAUCGUCGCCGUGCAGGCCCGCGGCGCGGUUGCCCAGCAGCACGAAGUCCCGGCGGCCGCAUCGCGCGCACCCCACGAAGUUGAGCAGGAAGGAGCCGCCCUCCAGGCAGGUGGUGCCCCGCUCGGGGUACUCCGUGCCCACACAGCCCCCGCACAUCUCGCCGCUUCUCGCGAGACUUCCGCCGCUCAGCGGGGGGCGG
rnacentral:lncRNA from 1 species